rnacentral:rRNA from 1 species
UACGGGGGGGGCAAGCGUUGUUCGGAAUUACUGGGCGUAAAGGGCUCGUAGGCGGCCAACUAAGUCAGACGUGAAAUCCCUCGGCUUAACCGGGGAACUGCGUCUGAUACUGGAUGGCUAGAGUGUGGGAGAGGGAUGCGGAAUUCCAGGUGUAGCGGUGAAAUGCGUAGAGAUCGGGAAGAACAUCGGUGGCGAAAGCGCUCUACUGGACUGCAACUGACACUCAGGGACGAAAGCUAGGGGAGCGAAUGGG